GUGACCAGAAGGAUGUGCAGGCAGUGCUAUGGGACACGAAACCCCAAAACAGGGAGUCACAGAUUCCAGUGGGAGCCUGGAGAAGGGAAGAGGCAAGGCUACAGAGAAGGACGAGGAAAAUGAAAACAGAGACAAGAGUCAAUCAGCCAGUGAUUACAUUAAAGAAAAUGGUUCUCUGUGGAAAGCAUGAAAGAGAAAAUGGACUGGGUGCUGGGACUGAAGAAAGGAAAACAAGACUAGUGGGAUUUUGAGGUACCCAACUGAAAUGGGAAUAUUUUUCGAAGGAAAAGUGAAUGUGAAAAAGGCUAACAAAACUGGUUCUUCAGUUAAAGAAUACUGUCUCUGUAGCUCGCCUACAUACAGCAGACAUAGGUUUACCUCCCUGCCUUGCUGCAAAUGAAGUAAGGAAUGUGUAUGAAUAUGGUAAGCAUUGGGCUACUGUGCUGCUCUUUGUCUUCUGCUCUUCUGUUCCAGCUGCUCCACCUCUUGUUACUAAUUAAAUAACUUUUCAGUGGAGCAAAAGUUUCUCACUAGAUCAUUAGCCCACUAGUCAACCAACUCAUGCGAGAUGUGGGAGGCCAGGGUCCUAAGGCUGGUCCAGUGACAAUCUGGCGUUGUUGCUCUCCAAUCCAGGAACCUGCAAUCAGCCUGACCUAGUCUCAAGUCUUCUGGCCGUAAUUUAGCAGCUGGGGCGAUGGCCAUCCAGGGACUUGGAUACGUAAAGUAUUAUGUUCUGGCUGACUGCCCUUAUCUGAAGGAUAGUAUGCAAUGGGCCAGCCUUGCCUGUGUGUGGAAAAACUUACACAGGGCUGGUUUCCUUUUGCUGUAGAGUGGGAAAAUUUGUGAAAUCCCAGUUAAAUUUGUGGGAUAGGAAAAAGGGAAAGCCAGCAAGUGGAAUAAAAAGAAAUAAAAUUCCUGGCUUCUAGUGCCCAGCUUAUUAAGCAAGCCAUGGCAGAACGUGACUGGGUCACUGGCAUUAGAGUGGUCAUGUGGUUAUAUCAGUGAAGAGUAAAGCUAAACAUGUAGUGCUAUCUGCACCAUGCACAGCAUGUGUAGAAAAUGUUUUGGCCAGUGGAAGGAAAGGACCCAUCAGCUGUAUAAAUCUCUUUGUGGCAUUCUCUACUAUAAGUAAUAAAAUGGGCUGCUCCCCUAUUGUAAUAGAUGAAGACAGUCCAAGUAGAUGCUAUGUUUCUGCUUCCUUAGCAUAUCAUUACAUAGAGAGUGUCUUGUGUUUGGGCAUAUAUUUAAGAAAACCACAAAGCAAUCAGCGUCUGGUUAUUUCUAAUCAGAGGUUUGUAGCAAUUCCAAAUCGACACAAAAAAAGCACUGCAGGUCAGUAACAAGCAUUUCCUGUGUUUUCUCUCAGAGUGACAUCUUUUGCUUAUAACUCAAAGUGGCCCUGCAUAACACCAAAAUGUGAUCUAAUUAGGGAUAUAAAAAUUUGGAAUUUAUGCAUUCACACAAAUAUCUGCCUUCAUACAUGGAUUUAUUCAUCUAUACCCUUGUAGCUCGUGGCAAGUUCUUCUGUAUGUAUGCAUGCCUAUGAUUUGUGUAUUUAUGUUUGUGUGACUGUACGUAUGAAGGCAAACAUUUCUAAUGUAUCUGUAUGUGAGCAAGCAGAUUUAAAAGCAUACCUUAUGUGGUAUAAAAUAUACUGCUACAUAAAUCACAGAAAGAAUUCCAUCUCUAAAUUAAAGUACACUCCAGAAAGAGCAAUUAUUGCCUUUAAAAUGUUUCUGUUAAAUUCAUGAGAUACCAUACAAUUUUAUUCAUGCUAUCAUCUAUGGUUGCUUGGAAGUGUAAAAAAAAUCUUACCACUAGCA